GUAAAAGGCUGUGGUGCUGAUCAACGAAGGAUUUCUCGGAGAAAAUUCCUCCUUUGCGGAAAUGUCCGUAGAAACGCACCUUUUUUUUUUCCUGCCAGGACAAACCGCCGGCGAUAUCCGUUCAUGUGAAAGUGUUUACUAACAUUCUCUGAAGACUCACUGGGUUCUCAGCUCGAGAACGUUCCUGUCACAAGACGUUUAGGAGGCAGGAUGCCGGUACAAUGUAUUUAUGUUCUUGUAAACUGUUGCAUUAACAGUGCACUUCAAGUGGGCACAUUUGUCGUUGGAUUUUUUACCAACUCGAGCUUGGACUUUAGGACGGGGAAAAGAAGUGCUAAAUGUUUUUGAAUAAAACCUUUACUGCACAUGAUAAACAUCCCUUAAAAAUUACCUAGGAGCACCCUAAAUUUUAAAAUGAUCACAAAGACCUGGACAGAUUACAGUAAACCUUCAACAUCGCUAAACACACGUACCAUAAAUCAAAAGAAACACACUGCUAAUGAUCCGUUUUUUGAUGUGGAAAUAUCAUGCUGUUUUUAAGGGAAAUUAUACUUUAUUGCGAUGUUUUAUUUCAAAACAAGAUGUUACACUUUAUUUCCUAUAAUUUUAUUUACAAUAUUUUACACCCGUUAAGCAAAAAUCCCCCUACAUUGCUAUUCUGUUUUUUUUUAAUCAGUUCACUACUGUAGUAUCUUUUUGUUCUCCAUAUAUUUUUGAAAAAUACGCAAAAGGAAGUCUGUCCCAGGAAGUUUUCAAACCUCUCUUGGCCAGAGAACAUCAGUGGGAGUGAUUGGAGGCCCUGGAUGGGAAGUCCCGCCAAGCUGGAACAGCUGAGCCAUCCAAACAGCAAGGAUGACAACCUUCCCUUUCUCCUAAGAACUCUGCCCCAUUCAAGCUUGGCCCAACACUGUUGCCAGGGGCUGGCUGGAAUUCCAAGCUGGGUGAAAGGAGAGACGAUUGGACAAGACACCAUGCUCAUCUGACAGUGACCUAAAACUUAACAAAGGUCUGUAAAAGCACUCAAUGGCAUUGCAGGCUAGAAUCAUAUAACCUGGAUUGGUGUCAUUUAGACAGGCUCAGGCUUACCAUUGAAGAACACAUUUCUACUAUAAAAAGUCAAGUGGAAAAGUUACAGUUUUCUCAAGAACAGGGUACCAUCAUUAAGGUGACCAGGUUUUUAUCAUGGGAACUUCUAGUCCCAGAUCUGAUCAUGGCUAAAUGAAUACCAAUGGCAUCCCAAUGUCUAGGGUGUCACAAAGGCUGAUCCCUAACCAGUGAGGGGCUGGCCCAGAGGUACACAGUGGGUGAGACUGAGCACUGCUGUCUUGAGACUCCAAGGCCACGUGGAGAGUCAAGUUGGGUCAACUGGAGCAAAGCUCACUUAGUCCUUUUCAUGAUGCUGUAACAGAAGCUGAGACUAAAAAAAUUAUUAAGGAAGGAGGUUUAUUUAGUCCAUGGAUCUACAGCCUAAGAAUUACAAGAUUGGCUGGGCACAGUGGCUCAUGCCCGUAAUACCAGCACAUUGGGAGGCCAAGGAAGGCAGAUCACCUGAGGUUGAGAGUUCAAGACCAGCCUGUCCAAUGUGGAGAAAUCCCAUCUCUACUAAAAAUACAAAAUUAGCCAAGCAUGGUGGUGCAUAAUUCCAGCUACUCAGGAGGUGGAGGCAGGAGAAUCGCUUGAACCUGGGAGACAGAGGUUGUGGUGAGCCGAUGUCACAGCAUUGUACUCCAGCCCGGGCAACAAGAGUUAAACUCUGACUCAAAAAAAUAAUAAUAAUAAAUAAGAUGUACAACCCUGGCACCUGCUUAACUUGUGGAGGGCCUUAUACUACUUAUGCUGCUUCCACUCAAGUUGAAAAGUGGAAGGAAAUCAGGUGUGUGCAAAGAGAACACAUGGCAAGAGGGGAAGAAAGAGAGAGAGAGAAACCAAGGAAUCUACACUCUUUAACAACCCAUUCUUGCAGAAAAUGAGAGCAAGAAAUUACAAUGCAGGAAUACAUCAAUCUCUUUAUGUGGAAUCCACACCCAUGACCCCAAAUCUCAAAUAGAUCCUACCUUACAAUACUGUCCCAUGGAGAAUUGAAUUUCAAAAUGAGUUUUGUUGUAGACAGUCUACAUCAAAAUCAUAGCAUUCACAAAACCACAGAACUACGAAAAAGAAAUGUUGGAGCUCUCAAAGACAUAGGAAGUAGGCCUGCCCCCUCUCAGCAUGAGCAGAACUACAGUUCCCAUAAGCCCUGUGGACACCUCCUGUGGGAGAUCAGCUGUGCCCAGUGCCUGAGCUCAUCCACACCUGUUCUUCUUGCUGCAACUUUGCACCUGAUGGGCAACACCUUGGAGCUGAUGGGCAAUGAAGCCCACAAUAACAGAAAGUGCUGUAAUAUUGUAAUAAUAUAUAUAUAUAUAGUAUUGUAAUAAAAUAUAUAUAUAAA
rnacentral:lncRNA from 1 species